AUGGUUUCGGUGCCGUCUGCUGCCAGUCUAUAUAUAUAUAUAUAUAUAUAUAUAUAUAUAUAUACUGGCAGCAGACGGCACCGAAACCAU
rnacentral:pre_miRNA from 1 species